rnacentral:rRNA from 1 species
UAGCCGUAAACGAUACUCGCUAGGUGUCGACCACGGUGCGACCGUUGUCGGUGCCGUAGGGAAGCCGUGAAGCGAGCCACCUGGGAAGUACGGCCGCAAGGCUGAAACUUAAAGGAAUUGGCGGGGGAGCACCACAACGGGUGGAGCUUGCGGUUUAAUUGGAUUCAACGCCGGAAAUCUUACCGGGACCGACAGCAACAUGAAGGCCAGGCUGAAGACUUUGCCGGAUUAGCUGAGAGGUGGUGCAUGGCGUAGACGUCU